rnacentral:rRNA from 1 species
GAUGAACGCUGGCGGCGUGCCUAAUACAUGCAAGUCGAGCGAACAGAUGAGGAGCUUGCUCCUCUGACGUUAGCGGCGGACGGGUGAGUAACACGUGGAUAACCUACCUAUAAGACUGGGAUAACUUCGGGAAACCGGAGCUAAUACCGGAUAAUAUAUUGAACCGCAUGGUUCAAUAGUGAAAGACGGUUUUGCUGUCACUUAUAGAUGGAUCCGCGCCGCAUUAGCUAGUUGGUAAGGUAACGGCCUACCAAGGCAACGAUGCGUAGCCGACCUGAGAGGGUGAUAGGCCACACUGGAACUGGGACACGGUCCAGACUCCUACGGGAGGCAGCAGUAGGGAAUCUUCCGCAAUGGGCGAAAGCCUGACGGAGCAACGCCGCGUGAGUGAUGAAGGUCUUCGGAUCGUAAAACUCUGUUAUUAGGGAAGAACAAAUGUGUAAGUAACUAUGCACGUCUUGACGGUACCUAAUCAGAAAGCCACGGCUAACUACGUG